rnacentral:rRNA from 1 species
UACGGGGGGAGCAAGCGUUGUUCGGAUUUACUGGGCGUAAAGGGCGCGUAGGCGGUCGUGACAAGUCACUUGUGAAAUCUCCGGGCUUAACUCGGAACGGUCAAGUGAUACUGUCGGACUAGAGUACAGAAGGGGCAACUGGAAUUCUCGGUGUAGCGGUGAAAUGCGUAGAGAUCGUAAGGAAGGCCAGUGGCGAAGGCGAGUUCCUGGACAGUUACUGACGCUGAGGCACGAAGGCCAGGGGAGCAAACGGG